rnacentral:rRNA from 1 species
CGCAUCUGUGCAUGCAGCAUAUCAAUAAGCGGAGGAAAAGAAACUAACAAGGAUUCCCCUAGUAACGGCGAGUGAAGCGGGAAGAGCUCAAAUUUGAAAUCUUAAAGGGUUUCCCUUUACGAAUUGUAGUUUAAAGAAGUGUUUUCUGUUGAGGUUUUGGUAAAAGUUCUUUGGAAUAGGACAUCAUAGAGGGUGAGAAUCCCGUAUUUGACCCUUACUUUCAACUUUGUGAUACACUUUCAAAGAGUCGGAUUGUUUGGGAAUGCAGUCCAAAAUGGGUGGUAAAUUUCAUCUAAAGCUAAAUAUUGGCGAGAGACCGAUAGCGAACAAGUACCGUGAGGGAAAGAUGAAAAGAACUUUGAAAAGAGAGUUAAACAGUACGUGAAAUUGUCAAAAGGGAAGCGUUUGACACCAGUGUUGUUUUUCUGAAAAUCAAUUAAAGAACUGUUUAUGCUAAGUUGUUUAGACUUUAUCAGCUAACUGUUUAGUUUUGAGCUUUUCUUUAAUGCACUUUUCAGUUAACAAGUCAACAUCAAUUUCUUUUGCUGUAAAAAAGCUUGAGGAAGGUGGCUUGAGAUUCGUCUUAAGUGUUUAUAGCCUCUUGCCUAUGCAGUCGGAGAGAUUGAGGUCUGCAGCGUAGAUCCUUCGGGGCUAAAUGCAUUUGUGCUAAGUUAUAACAUUUUAUAGACAACUUGUUGACUAUGAUUUGUCUUGUAGCUUACUCGCUUAUGUUAUAUUACCUACGCUUAGGAUGUUGACAGCAGUAUAGACUGU